rnacentral:rRNA from 1 species
GACGAACGCUGGCGGCGUGCUUAACACAUGCAAGUCGAACGGAAAGGCCCUGCUUUUGUGGGGUGCUCGAGUGGCGAACGGGUGAGUAACACGUGAGUAACCUGCCCUUGACUUUGGGAUAACUUCAGGAAACUGGGGCUAAUACCGGCUAGGAGCUCCUGCUGCAUGGUGGGGUUUGGAAAGUUUCGGCGGUUGGGGAUGGACUCGCGGCUUAUCAGCUUGUUGGUGGGGUAGUGGCUUACCAAGGCUUUGACGGGUAGCCGGCCUGAGAGGGUGACCGGCCACAUUGGGACUGAGAUACGGCCCAGACUCCUACGGGAGGCAGUAGUGGGGAAUAUUGCACAAUGGGCGGAAGCCUGAUGCAGCAACGCCGCGGGCGGGAUGACGGCCUUCGGGUUGUAAACCGCUUUCGCCUGUGACGAAGCGUGAGUGACGGUAAUGGGUAAAGAAGCACCGGCUAACUACGUG